rnacentral:rRNA from 1 species
UACGGAGGAUGCAAGCGUUAUCCGGAAUGAUUGGGCGGAAAGCGUCCGCAGGUGGCAAUGUAAGUCUGCUGUCAAAGCGUCUGGCUCAACCAGAUAAAGGCAGUGGAAACUACAUAGCUAGAGUAAGGUAGGGGUAGAGGGAAUUCCUGGUGUAGCGGUGAAAUGCGUAGAUAUCGGGAGGAACACCAGUGGCGAAGGCGGCUUUCUGGCCUGUUCUUGACGCUGAGGCGCGAAAGCUAGGGGAGCAAACGGG